AGAGUUCGAUUCUGGCUCAGGAUGAACGCCGGCGGUGUGCCUAAUACAUGCAAGUCGAGCGCACUGGCCCAACUGAUAUGACGUGCUUGCACUGAUUUGACGAUGGAUUACCAGUGAGCGGCGGACGGGUGAGUAACACGUGGGCAACCUGCCCUAAAGCGGGGGAUAACAUUUGGAAACAGGUGCUAAUACCGCAUAACUACGAAAACCACAUGGUUUUCGUAUAAAAGAUGGUUUCGGCUAUCACUUUAGGAUGGGCCCGCGGUGCAUUAGCUAGUUGGUAAGGUAAAGGCUUACCAAGGCAAUGAUGCAUAGCCGAGUUGAGAGACUGAUCGGCCACAAUGGAACUGAGACACGGUCCAU
rnacentral:rRNA from 1 species